AAGCUGCAAAUCAAGAGAUUUACUUUUUCUUCUUUCUGAUUCUGAUACUGUAGAGUGUAGAACUAGAAGGUGGUAGAGAGAACUGGGGGGUGAAGAAAAGAGAGGGAAAAAGUGGGUAUGAUGAGAUUGUUGACAGAAGAUAGAGAGCACAGACGAUGAUAUGCAUUUAUCACAUGAAACUCUCACUGCAUUUCAUUCCUUUGUGCUCUCUAUUCUUCUGUCAUCACACUUUAAUAUCUCUCAUCACUUUCCCUCUACAUCACCUCUUCAUGUUCUCUCCUAUAUUAUCACUUGACAGGUUGGAUGAAGAUCACACGAAUCAGCUGUUGAUGAUGAUGUCUUAACAAGAGUUUUUGGCAAUCCGCUGGUAAAACGUAACUGGAUCUCUUCUUUUGGGUAGAAAGCUGUUAUGAUUUCUUAAGAACGCAUCUGGAAGAGGUUUAAGAACACAUAGCAUUUUUAACUGAUCCCUUUGCUGAUAGUAUCUUGUGGUGUAUCUCAAGAAGUGAGCAUAUAAGCAGCUUAGAGAGUUUGUACAAUACUGAUAAAACGUAACCGGAUCUUUUCUUUUUUGGUAGAAGCUUUUAGUUUAUAAUUUCUUAAGAACGCCUCUUUGUGUAUAAUGCAAUGCAUACCUGUAAAAGUUUCUAAAACAGCAAGGCAUUGAGCAUUUGCUUGAUCAUAUAUGUAUAUGUCUUCUGGUUUCUUCUGAAAGAAAAAUCUCAUGUUCUCUGAUGAUAUAUGCUAUAUAUGCAGUAUCAUGAUCGCCGAAUGAUUCGCAGGAACAGCCCCACUUCAUUUUGUGGUAAGAAGAAAUAAGGGAAGAAAUAGCAGAGAAGGGCCCCACUGACCAUGACACAACGUACGUGUGGGCAUGUACCUAUUCCGGAUUCUUCUUCCAAGUUACUCUGCCCCCAACUUGUUCAUUGAUUCGCUAAGGUGAUCCUAAAAAUCUGCGGUUGUUCUGCAGAUAACAGCAGAAGGGGUCCAAAAAAAAAAAAAUUGUCACUGGUAAUGAUUUGACACUCAUGAAUAUAUCUAUCUGGUCCUUCAAUGGUACCACUUGCAUUAUUCA